AAGUCGUAACAAGAUUUCCGUAGGUGAACCUGCGGAAGGAUCAUUAUCAAAACAGCAGCCUUCAGGCCUCGCUACACCCUUAUCUUUUACGCACCGUAUUAUUUCCUCGGCGGGCUUACCUACCGGUUAGACAUCAUAAAACCUUUUUAUAGUUACAAUCAGCGUCAGAAAAACAAUAAUUAUUACAACUUUCAACAACAGAUCUCUUAGUUCUA
rnacentral:misc_RNA from 1 species